rnacentral:rRNA from 1 species
GCCAGCAGACACAUCACCCUGCAGCUCUCAACUGGCUACCCACUGAAGUAGGGUUGCACCCGGUCAGUACCUGGAUGGGAGACCUCCUGGGAAGCUAUGGUAGCUACUGGAA